AAUUACCAUAUAAUUUACUAUUGUUGAAAAACAUUGUCUACGGCCAUACCUAGGCGAAAACACCAGUUCCCGUCCGAUCACUGCAGUUAAGCGUCUGAGGGCCUCGUUAGUACUAUGGUUGGAGACAACAUGGGAAUCCGGGGUGCUGUAGGCUCCUUCUCUUAUUAUUGCUAUUUUAUUUUUUUAAUUUUAUUGUUU